UUCCUCUCAGGAUCGCACCUGGAGAGUUUCCAGUACUCUACCAGUCUCAACUAUGGGAGGGAGAGUCAAGCAGAGCCAUAUCCAUUCCAUUCCUAGUUUGGGCAGUGGCUAGCAAGUGGAAGGCAAUCUGCUACCAGU
rnacentral:snoRNA from 1 species